rnacentral:misc_RNA from 1 species
GGCUAUUGGGUUGGCCAUUCCUGCAUUUCUAAUGUUCCUUUCUUGUGUUCUCUUCUUUUUGGGAACAAAAAUUUAUGUUAUAGUGAAACCUCAGGGUAGUCCUUUAACCAGUGUAGCUCAAGUACUUGUGGCUUCUGUAAAGAAGAGAGGGCUGAAGCUUCCUGAAAAUCCAGCUUUUGCUCUUUUCAACUAUUUUCCUCCUAAAUUUACCAACUCCAAGCUUCCUCAUACCAGUCAAUUUAGGUUCCUUGACAAGGCAGCAAUCAUUACCAGCGAAAACGAAAUAAACUCGGAUGGAUCAGCUACCAAUCCGUGGAGGCUCUGUAGCAUCCAAC